UACGGAGGGUGCAAGCGUUAAUCGGAAUUACUGGGCGUAAGCGCACGCAGGUGGCUAAGUCAGUCGAUUGUGAAAGCCCUGGGCUUAACCUGGGAAUUGCAGUCGAUACUACUUGGCUAGAGUAUGGGAGAGGGCAGUGGAAUUCCCGGUGUAGCGGUGAAUGCGUAGAUAUCAGGAGGAACACCGGUGGUGUAAACGGCUUUCGUGGACCGAUAACUGACGCUGAGGCACGAAAGCGUGGGUAGCAAACAGG
rnacentral:rRNA from 1 species